rnacentral:rRNA from 1 species
CCUACGGGUGGCAGCAGUGAGGAAUAUUGGUCAAUGGACGAGAGUCUGAACCAGCCAAGUAGCGUGAAGGAUGACUGCCCUAUGGGUUGUAAACUUCUUUUAUAUGGGAAUAAAAUGUUCCACGUGUGGGAUUUUGUAUGUACCAUAUGAAUAAGGAUCGGCUAACUCCGUGCCAGCAGCCGCGGUAAUACGGAGGAUCCGAGCGUUAUCAGGAUUUAUUGGGGUUAAAGGGAGCGUAGGUGGAUUGUUAAGUCAGUUGUGAAAGUUUGCGGCUCAACCGUAAAAUUGCAGUUGAAACUGGCAGGCUUGAGGACAGUAGAGGUGGGUGGAAUUCGUGGUGUAGCGGUGAAAUGCUUAGAUAUCACGAAGAACUCCGAUUGCGAAGGCAGCUCACUGGACUGCAACUGACACUGAGGCUCGAAAGUGUGGGUAUCAAACAGGAUUAGAUACCCCUGUAGUC